CCUAGACGACGCUCGACCGAUCGGUGCCGUUCAACCGGACCGAUAUCCUUACCGAUACCUCGGGCGCGUAAUUCGGAAACUCGCGUGCGACGGUCGGAGGCGCGUCUUUGCGACGGAGUUCGACGGUCAGUGGCGUCGCGACGGCU